rnacentral:misc_RNA from 1 species
AAGUCGUAACAAGGUUUCCGUAGGUGAACCUGCGGAAGGAUCAUUACAAACAUGUAAAGAUGGAUUGACUUGUUGAAUCUGUGAGAGGUGGUAGUGAGAGUGUGAGAGUGGGGUGAGAUGUGAGAUAUAUAUAUAAAAAAUAGAUUUCAUGUUUCGCUUUUUCACCCACCACCACCACCACCACAUUAACAAACUAGUAUAUUGAUUGACAGAGGAUAAAAAAUAAAAAAUAAAAAAAACAACUUUUAACAAUGGAUCUCUUGGUUCUU